AAGGAGAAGUCUUGACUCCAGCACCGCGCGUGAGCUGAGAAGGUAUUUCGGAUCGUAAAACUCUGUUGUUAGGGAAGAACAAGGAUGAGAGUAACUGCUCAUCCCCUGACGGUAUUUAACCAGAAAGCCACGGCUAACUACGUGCCAGCAGCCGCGGUAAUACGA
rnacentral:rRNA from 1 species